rnacentral:misc_RNA from 1 species
GAUGAAGAACGUAGCGAAAUGCGAUAAGUAAUGUGAAUUGCAGAAUUCAGUGAAUCAUCGAAUCUUUGAACGCAUAUUGCGCCCGCCAGUAUUCUGGCGGGCAUGCCUGUCCGAGCGUCAUUUCAACCCUCGAACCCCUCCGGGGGGUCGGCGUUGGGGAUCGGCCCUCCCUUAGCGGGUGGCCGUCUCCGAAAUACAGUGGCGGUCUCGCCGCAGCCUCUCCUGCGCAGUAGUUUGCACACUCGCAUCGGGAGCGCGGCGCGUCCACAGCCGUUAAACACCCAACUUCUGAAAUGUUGACCUCGGAUCAGGUAGGAAUACCCGCUGAACUUAAGCAUAUCAUAAGCGGAGGA